UACGGGUGGAGCAAGCGUUGUUCGGAUUUACUGGGCGUAAAGGGCGCGUAGGCGGCCACCGCAAGUCGACUGUGAAAUCUCCGGGCUUAACCCGGAAAGGUCAGCCGAUACUGCGGGGCUAGAGUGCAGAAGGGGCAACUGGAAUUCUCGGUGUAGCGGUGAAAUGCGUAGAUAUCGAGAGGAACACCUGCGGCGAAGGCGGGUUGCUGGGCUGACACUGACGCUGAGGCGCGAAAGCUAGGGGAGCGAACGGG
rnacentral:rRNA from 1 species